GGAAGUAAAAGUCGUAACAAGGUCUCCGUUGGUGAACCAGCGGAGGGAUCAUUACCGAGUUUACAACUCCCAAACCCCUGUGAACAUACCUAUACGUUGCCUCGGCGGAUCAGCCCGCGCCCCGUAAAACGGGACGGCCCGCCCGAGGACCCUAAACUCUGUUUUUAGUGGAACUUCUGAGUAAAACAAACAAAUAAAUCAAAACUUUCAACAACGGAUCUCUUGGUUCUGGCAUCGAUGAAGAACGCAGCAAAAUGCGAUAAGUAAUGUGAAUUGCAGAAUUCAGUGAAUCAUCGAAUCUUUGAACGCACAUUGCGCCCGCCAGUAUUCUGGCGGGCAUGCCUGUUCGAGCGUCAUUUCAACCCUCAAGCUCAGCUUGGUGUUGGGACUCGCGGUAACCCGCGUUCCCCAAAUCGAUUGGCGGUCACGUCGAGCUUCCAUAGCGUAGUAAUAAUACACCUCGUUACUGGUAAUCGUCGCGGCCACGCCGUAAAACCCCAACUUCUGAAUGUUGACCUCGGAUCAGGUAGGAAUACCCGCUGAACUUAAGCAUAU
rnacentral:rRNA from 1 species